rnacentral:rRNA from 1 species
UACGUAGGGCGCAAGCGUUGUCCGGAAUUAUUGGGCGUAAAGAGCCCGUAGGCGGUUUGUCGCGUCUGCUGUGAAAACCUAAGGCUCAACCUUGGGCUUGCAGUGGGUACGGGCAGACUAGAGUGUGGUAGGGGAGACUGGAAUUCCUGGUGUAGCGGUGAAAUGCGCAGAUAUCAGGAGGAACACCGAUGGCGAAGGCGGCAUCCCUGG